UACGAAGGGGGCUAGCGUUGCUCGGAAUCACUGGGCGUAAAGAGCGUGUAGGCGGCCAGAUAAGUCCGCUGUGAAAUCUCGAGGCUCAACUUCGAGCUGUCGGUGGAAACUGUCUGGCUAGAGUCCGGAAGAGGAGAAUGGAAUUCCUGGUGUAGCGGUGAAAUGCGCAGAUAUCAGGAAGAACACCCGUGGCGAAGGCGGUUCUCUGGGACGGUACUGACGCUGAGACGCGAAAGCGUGGGGAGCGAACAGG
rnacentral:rRNA from 1 species